AUAACUUUGAAAACCAUAAGUGGACCAAUUAGCUUCCAAGAAAUUUAGUUCCAAUAACUUUUAGAUUGCUAAUAUAUUUUUGUGGGCAUAGGAAAUAAAGCUUAACAGUUAAAAAAUUUGUAAAGUCUGAAAUCAAAGAUUUUAACAUAAAUAAGUGUGAUA